rnacentral:rRNA from 1 species
ACGAACGCUGGCGGCAUGCCUAACACCUGCAAGUCGAACGAGACCUUCGGGUCUAGUGGCGCCCGGGUGCGUCACGCGUGGGAACCUGCCCUUAGGUUCUGACUAACUCCCCGCAAGGGGUGCUAAUACCGGAUAAUGUCUUCGGACCAAAGAUUUAUCGCCUUUGGAUGGGCCCGCGUUGGAUUAGCUAGUUGGUAGGGUAAAAGCCUACCAAGGCGACGAUCCAUAGCUGGUCUGAGAGGAUGAUCAGCCACACUGGGACUGAGACACGGCCCAGACUCCUACGGGAGGCAGCAGUGGGGAAUAGUGGACAAUGGGCGAAAGCCUGAUCCAGCAAUGCCGCGUGAGUGAUGAAGGCCUUAGGGUUGUAAAGCUCUUUUACCCGGGAUGAUAAUGACAGUACCGGGAGAAUAAGCGCCGGCUAACUCCGUG